rnacentral:lncRNA from 1 species
CAUCACUCAGACUCUCUCCUGGAGAUCAUAGUCACCAAGAAGGUGGAGUCAAAGACUUCAAACCCUCUUUCAUUGCUUUGUCACAGGAAGAGACUUAGUUUUAAGGAUGCUCAGAGCUUUGCUAAUUUCAUUUCCCAGGGAGCUCUUGUUUACAGCUAAACAAGGAGCAGGUCUCCAUCCUAUUUCUGAUACAAGCCAGAUUUCGCGGUCUAUUCUUGUGAAUGAUGAUAGACAUUCUGGCCACCUCGAGUACAACCAUAUUGUCUCUGCACAGAUGAAGCAGGUAGAGAACUCCUUCCCCUCCAAAAGAAGUCCAGCACAAAUUGCUAUGUGAAAUCCUGAGUGAAAGAUCAUUUUUGUGGUUGCUGGUGCUUUGUUUUGAAAGAAGACCAAUGAUAUCACAGAACAAUGUUUUGGCAUGAAGUGGAUAUAAGUGAGGCAGAGUUGCACAAAGUCAUCAGCCUCUCUCUUCCAGAGUAAUUGAAGUCCAGUGGCAAG